UGUGUCACAUUUUUCACCCAGUGUUGACUUGGCUAACCUUGCUGCCUAGGAGAGUGUGCACCCCUCCUGAAGUCUCAAUCUUAGUCAAGGAGGAAACUUCCUGAUUGAGGAACAUUAUCAUUGUUUUGCCUCCAGAAUCCAUGUAACUGAGCUCCCCUUCUAGAACCUCCAAACAUAUUCUCAAGGCCAAAAAUGAAUGGUUCCAUUUCUUGAACAUAUUAAUAGUGUUA
rnacentral:sRNA from 1 species